UACGUAGGGUGCAAGCGUUAAUCGGCAUUACUGGGCGUAAAGCGUGCGCAGGCGGCUUUGCAAGACAGAUGUGAAAUCCCCGGGCUUAACCUGGGAACUGCAUUUGUGACUGCAUGGCUGGAGUGCGGCAGAGGGGGAUGGAAUUCCGCGUGUAGCAGUGAAAUGCGUAGAUAUGCGGAGGAACACCGAUGGCGAAGGCAAUCCCCUGGGCCUGCACUGACGCUCAUGCACGAAAGCGUGGGGAGCAAACAGG
rnacentral:rRNA from 1 species